UGGGGAAUAUUGGACAAUGGGGGCAACCCUGAUCCAGCAAUGCCGCGUGAGUGAAGAAGGCCUUCGGGUUGUAAAGCUCUUAGCCGACGAAUAUAAUGACUGUAGUCGGAGAAUAAGCCCCGGCUAACUUCGUGCCAGCAGCCGCGGUAAUACGAAGGGGGCGAGCGUUAUUCGGAAUCACUGGGCGUAAAGCGUGCGUAGGCUGCUUUGUAAGUCAGAAGUGAAAGCCCAGGGCUUAACCCUGGAAUUGCUUUGAAACUACAAGGCUCGAAUUCGGGAGAGGAUAGCGGAAUUGUCAGUGUAGCAGUGAAAUGCGUAGAUAUUGACAGGAACACCAGUGGCGAAGGCGGCUCACUGGCUCGAUACUGACGCUGAGGUGCGAAAGCGUGGGGAUCGAACAGGAUUAAUACC
rnacentral:rRNA from 1 species